rnacentral:lncRNA from 1 species
UCAACGCAAGUGAAAAUACUUUUGUUUUCAGAAAUUAACUUUAAUUAGGGCAUUUUAGUCCUUGAGAUAUGAAACUUGUUCCGCUUAAGUAAAAUCUUUAAUGGAAGUGGGAGAAAUUUAAUACUUAAGUUGAAUGAAUUUUAUAAUUUAGAGAAUAAAAUGAGAUGAAUUCUAUACCUUAGAAACUAAAGUGGGACAAAUUUUAUAUUGUAGAGGUUAAAGUGUGACAUAAUAUCUACUUUAAGAACUAAAAAUAUUCCGCUUUGAAAUUUAAGAAUCAAAUUGAAAAUUUGACUGCAGUUGAAGGGUGCAAAGUGAAAUUAAUUCAGUUUUGUUUAUUCUUUUGCUGCCAUAUUUGCCCCAUUUUUCCUUUUGGAAAACUCUCAAUAAUUUAAAGUUUUCAGGAGAAUUGGCAUUCUGGGCUUCCUUUUUAAUUAAUACCAAUUGUUUCCAAUCGUCAAAUUUGCAUUCUCAAGCCACGCAUCAAAGUCAAUCAAAGCCUAUGCUGGUGUUUGUAAUGUGCAUCUGCCGUAGUAUAUAAUUGAUGAGCACCAAAACAAAAUCCAUCUUGCAAAUUGAGGUUCUCAAAAUUUAUGUCUUAGAAAAAUCUUGCUCUAAAACUUCUGGCUAACCUAUCACCUUGCUUGAAUUGAAAUACAAAUAAUAAAUGGUGUGUUUUCUCGUCGAAUCUCAGCUAAACGAUCCAUAACCUUUUUAAGUUUGGAAGAAAUGGAUAUAUGACAAGAACGUAUUGUAUAAUUCGUAAAACAGGAACUGGAAAUGAAAUUCCCUUAGACCUUGAUAAUGCAAUCUAGUACAAAUAAGUCUCAGAACUUUGAAAGAAAAUCUAAAUCCGUACCUAGCAUGAAUAUGGAGAAUACACUUCAGAAAGUAAGGGUUUUCAUAGUUUUAUAUGCCACCAAAUUCUACAGUAGCAGAAUCACAUACUUGUUUUUAUUUUCUUUGUAACCACUUAUACAUGGAAAUUAUUUACCUUACAAAAAUUUACUCCAUGUGGGGGUUCUUACCUUUCUAGUGCAGGAAAACACGAAGAAUCAUGUUAGCUUUUGCAUAUGGAAUUGAAUAAUUUUGGUGGGGUAACAAUGCCCCUAGAAGUACUAAACAACCUCUUCCAAAAAAUAGGUCAAAGAACCACUUUCGUUAAUUAAUUCUGAUCAUUAACCUUUAGACAGAGAAUAAAGAGGAGAGAAAAGUUGAUUGCAAUCAGAAAAAAGAUUUCCCAAGUUUGUGGCUACCAGAGAAUAUCCAGCAGGUUGAAACUCUAAACUGCUUAAACUUCAGUAGGCAGUAUAUUACUCUGGUCAACUGGCUUUUUGGAACAAAAAUACUUUUUUUCUCGAGCUUUUUUUGACACAAAAACAUAAAAGCAAAAAGGGCAUCAAUGGACAGAGGAAUCAAGCACAGCUAUUCGACAUAAAGUUUUAGGUUCGAUCUCUAAUUAAUUCUAUAAUUGACUAAAAGUAAGCCAAGGUGAAGAGAACUAAAAUUUAAAACGUCCAAGCCACAUGCUUACCACAUCCACCUUCAGCACAUAAAUGUUGUAUUUCAGGAUCGUAGGUUUAGCUUCUUGAGCCCCUUUUGACAAUUAUAGAAGAGAAAUGAUCUAAUUACACCAUAUAUCAUAUGCUAACCAAUUUGAUAACUUCAUUUACUUUCUCUAUCUCUCUCUGUGUAUAUGUAUAUGUAUAUUGCGGAUACAGUUAUUAAUUCAUGAUCUGACAUAUAUAAAAUGAGAACUUCAUUCUCGAGUCUGCGAGAAUUUUUAUGAAAGCCUUUCAUUGACAUCUCUUCCAUGGGAGUUUGAUUUAUUAUCCCUCUCGAAAACAAAGUAGUUUAUAACUUAUUGAUCAGUACAUGAUAAAUGAUAGUUCUCUUUUCUAGUCUAUUGCAAUUACUCAUCAAGCAAGCACACUUUAGUGUAACAUUAACUAGUCACUUUUCCUUACAUUUUUGAAUUCCUGAGACAUUUUUCUUUCCACGUUCACAUUAGUAUGAAAGUCAAAUUUGUUACUUUUCUUGGGUGUGAAUAUUGCUUCGAGCCUUUCAACGAAUUGCAAUCCUUUCUAGUAUGUGUAGUUCUUCGUGUGAGUAACACAACACAUCAGUCCUACUGUAUAUGCCCCCUGCCAAAUGUGAUGGCGUACACUAGCAUAUUAUGUUAUGGUAGUAGCUUUUCUUUGUGCUUUUGUGCUGAUAUAGAUGCAAAAGAAUUUCCACCAUGGCUGGUGAAGAUUUUCAGCAAAGUCGGCUCUGACCAUGAUUACGAUAUUAUUGAACCUAAUGGCUACUGGUCACUGCAAUUCCCUACACUUGGGAAGAAAUUGUCUCUUGCAAUUGUAGUUUAUGCCAAAAUCAUGAGGAUACAAACAGACAGAUAUAUAGGACAAAUAGUUGAAAGCAGGAAAAUGUAGAGCUUCUGCUUGCAAUCAUGGUCAAAUAGAGUAAAAAAAAAGUAUCAUUUUCUCCACUUAAGAAAGCAAAAAUGCCUUCUAAGCAAGCUUGUUUAAGUGUUCAUACUCUCACUGUUUAUCUGAAUCUUGGUAAGCAUGUUUGCUACUUAAUUCUCCAUUACGUGUUGUGUAAAAUGAGCAUGCGCAAAAUGAUUCACCUGGAAAAUCAAGGGGAAAUCUUAGCACAAAAACACGAAUCAGUUUAGCUUUUAAAGAGUCAAAGAAAAGCUCUACAAAUUAAGCUUCAAGUUCACAUUCAGCAUAUACAUCGCACAUGAAAAGCGAAAAGAAAUGUAGAGAGAAAAAAAAGACAGAAAGGAAAUAUCUACUGCUCAGAUUUCAAAAAUGCUGAUGCUUGAAUUUUAGAAUGCUCAAGCGGGGAAAGUUUUGCAAUCUACAAUCACCAGUGAAGAAAGGAGAGACCUGGCUGCAGGCAUUUAGAUGCUAUUAUUGGUUUCAAGCAGUAUUGAACAAAAUGAAAACGAACUCAAUCGGAUACAAGACAUGAAUCUAUGUCCCAGGAAAGCUGUUCAAGAGAUGUUAUACAUUCCAAACUGCAGUAUAUCUGUCUCAUACAUUAACUCCAUAAUAAACUAUUUAUUUCCUCAUCAAAACAGCUACUAUAAUUCUUCAAGUUACAAAUCUGAAACCUUGAAACUAACCUAGUCAAUGGAAAAACAGAAGAUCAAGAACAAGAUAACACCCUAUUGCAUAACCUAAAAGGGAAAAAAAUUACAAGGAAGAAAACAAUGCAAUUAUUUAUAGUAGUAUAUCUGAAAUCGGACCAGGAGCGCUUGAUUCCCCAUUCAAGAACCUCACAGGAGUAUCAUGGCUGUUCUUCUCUUCAAAUUUGAUCCAUCAGAAGAAGAAGGCUACAAUAGCUUCCAAAUUUUUCCAAGUAACUCUGGUGAAUAUGCUGGACUCGGAACCCUGGUGAAUAUGCUGGACUUGGAACCUGAUUCCAGUGAAUAUCCUCAUAUUUGGUGCUGUAACCACUGUUCUGAAUAAGGAAAUCAACCAAUACUUAUCUGAAGUCGGUUACAAAAUGGACACUGCAUUUAUAAACAAGACUGUAGGGGGGUUGUGGGCUAGGGCACUUGUAAAAUUGCAGAGCACGCAUACUGUAGAUAUAUUUAUCUUAUAUUCCCGCAUGCAUCUGGGACUCCCUUUAAGGCACUAGCUACUUUUCCACAAGACAGUGAAAGAAAGGUGGGGGGACGGUUUAUGUGGGUUUUUUUGGGGACGCAUUUCUUUUUCCUUGCUAAGUAUAAAAGGCUAGCUUGCUUGGUUGGUGCCCUAAAGCUGGGGCUCUUUUUUAAAGUAUGUUCUCUAAAAAGGGUCUUUGUGUAUUUGGUGUUUGAAAAUUGUGGCUCUUUUUUGCUUCCUUUUAAAGUCUUUCUUGCAAAGGAGUAGAAGAAAUAUUGGACAGCUUUGCAUAAAGGAAAUGUUGCAUUGGACAAACUUUGAGCUAUUAAAGAUAUCUAAUCUUUGACUUCUUUUGUACUUAAUUUUAGGCUUUGGACCUUAGAGUCUACAUGGUCUUAUAAUUUAGGCUAUGAUAUUCCAUGCACAUGGAAGAAAUGUGCAUAAAGGUAGCUAGAUAGUGAAUUUUGAUUUGUUUUUCAAGUACGAUUGAUUUUUUAUAAGAGCUUAAGCAUGUUCUUGGUCUUCAACAUCUAUUCUUGGGAUAAAUCAGAGAUGAUGUUCUUUAAGGUACUUUAGGAAGAAGCAAAAAAUGUACCAUGUUGUUAUGGUACCAAUUUUAUUCUGUGGCUUUGGGUGUUGAACUUCAUAUUCCCCUCUCAAAAUCCAAUUUGUCAUUAGCUGUAAUCAUUGUAUGAUCUUAUUGUAAGUUUGUAACCACCGAAUUAAUUAUGUGGAAUGAGUAAACAAUAAGUUAAUAACUAACUAGCACUCUUUUAUACACGUAAUUUUGUUUAUUUUCAUCCUCUUCCCUACUGCUUUCUAAUUGAUGUAGGUUUAUCUUCAUCCUCAUCCCUACUGCUUUCUAAUUUAAAAGUGGUCAGAUUUUGAUAUAGGUUGGCAUGUAGGCAAGUUAGAUGUCGGCUUUACAGACAUAUUAUGUCAAGAACCAAGAAUGUCAGUAUACUUAACAAUCCCCUAAAAAAAUGUAAACUGUAGAUUCUUCCUAUCAAAUCAAGGUCAGCCAUUAGGGGCCAAAAACAUCGAAAGAGUAUUGAGUAAUCAAAGCAAUGUCAAAGUUGAAAAUGAUUUUAAUUUGCAUAUAAAUAGGUAAUUUCAUGAAGAUCAAUAUUCUAAUUAUUCCGAGUGGACAAAACUGAUUCAUUAUUGUACGCAUAGCCUUCUUAUUGAAAAUACAAAUGCAAGACAAACCAAGAGCUGUCAUGGUGUACACAAUUAUUGAUUAAUCAUUUACAACUUUUUUUUUUUUUGGGGCAAUCAUUGAGAAUUAUCAUCGGUUAUGACUCCUUCACCUGGAAAUACAAAUAGUUCAUUUUUCCUGUCAUCCUUAACAAUCCAUAUCAGGGUUCCCAAAUUAAAUUUCCAACGCAGAAUAGCAACUAAAGUAAGAUGACUACAGACUUCUCGCCAACUGGUCUUUAAUUAACAUCCUUUAUUACACUAAAGGAGCCAAGGAAAACCUUUUUUUUUUUUUGGUUAGGGCAUGUUAACCAAUUUGAUAUUGGACGGAUAGCAAUUUUUUUGGAUGCCUGCUCCAUAAUGAACUAGAAAAGUACGAACUUAAUUUUUGAUAUAAUGCAUGUGAGAUAAAACAGCAGUUAACGAAUGAUUGAAAAAUAUAUUUACUAUCACGAAAUGAAAUUUUUAAAAUUAGCUAUUUAAACACUCAUUGUUGGUAAUAGUCAACUCGAACGUCAUAAACCCUAAUGAGAACAAACAAAAAGAUUCAUAAAAUGAUUCUCCUCUUGCCCAAAGUAACCCCACAAAGUAAAACAAAACCUAGGGUUAUAUUUACCCAAAUUCAUUUUGUUGAGGAAAAAGAAUUUAUUACAAGGAUGGGAAUUGUUAAAUCCUAAAUGAAGUAAUAUAUUGGGCCCACGAUGUCAAUCAUACAAGUUCCCCACCAGCAAAAGAAAGAAGGACCUUCUCCAGUUUCCUUCAAUCGAACGGCCAGUUUGUCUGUUUCUGGGCGAAGGACCACUAGUUGCAUUACAUCUCAUAGUGGGACCCUUCCGCCCCAAACCAAAUGAGAUGUUGCCACGUGUACACGAAGCAAAAUGUAACUGCUUAGCACGCUUUUGUUUAUAAAGUGUGGUGUGACCAGUAACUUUUGGUUGUGGAUGGGAUUGAAAAGGAUAAAAGACGUCGCGUGAACGACAAUCAAAGCGGAACCCGGAUCUCCAUCGGGCAGAUUUGCUUUUUUGUUUUUCUUCUGUGGAUAAUCCAUGAUUUUAAUGUAGAGAAUCUGAUAAAUGAUGCCUCCCAACACUUCAAUGGGCUCGGAGAGAGGCUCAUGAAGUAGUACGUUGCUUGGGUCCAGAUGCAAGUAGGACUAAAAGACUAAGUUAAGUUAUUUAAACUAUUCAGUACUCGAUUCAAGUUUGACUUAAUAAUAAUUUGUUCAAAUUUAGUUUAUUAACUAAUCAAAUUAAACUAAAAUAGCAUUUUGCAUCUGAUAAAUGUUCAAGCUUGAUUUAAUUAGUAUAAAAUUGAAAUUUAUAAGUAAAAAAACUUAAGUUACUCGAGCUAGAUUCGAAUUUGACUCGAUAAAAACUCAUUUGAGUUCGAUGGAGGAUAGUUAAACAAGUCAGAUUUAAAUAGAAUUUCAAAUUUGAUAAAAUAAUUAAACAAAAUUGAACGAUAAAAUUUUCAAUUUGAUUAAACUCGUUAAUAGUCCUACAUGCGAGUGGAGUGUCUGAUAGUGUGGAGUGUGUUGAUACUUGAUACAAUGCCUUCUUGCAUUGAUGCUAUGUUUCAUAGGGGAUUUGGCUUGCUUAAAAGUGAUAUGAGUGAAGUGAUUUUAUAUAUAAAAAAUGAAUUUAUUAUACAAAUUACAUAUUACAAGUGCUCCAUUUAUCAUCAAUGGAGGGCUAAGAAAGUGUGCUUGCAUAUUUCAUUAAUCAUUUGGAAUAUUAUUUUGAAUUGCAUUGUAAAUAUAUUUUUAAUCACCUUUUUAUCUCAUAUAUAUAUAUAUAUAUAUAUAUGUAUAAUAUUACAAAAAAGUGCUACAGUAAUUAUUCUAAAAAAUUUGUCAAAUAAGCUUUUAUCCAAACACACCAUUAUCUUGGAUGUUUGAGAUGUGUCACCGGUUGAAGGAAAGUCAAGAAGAAUAGAAUGAAUUGGAAGUUAGGUUUAGUUUGGAAUUUUCAGAAAGUUUUCUUGUUUAGUUAGAUUGUCUUCUUUUGUUGGUAAAUUUACAGCUCAACAUGUUCUCAAAUCUUUGACGUGUUAGAAUUUUCUUUCGAAGUAAAUAGCCACAAUUCUCUAACUAAGGCCAAAUUCUUGGUAAGAUUUUAUAUGCGGAAAUCAUGGAAUGCUCUUCAAACCUUUAAUUGAUCUUUCAUUUUGGAAAUGUGAAAACUAAAAGCCGAGAGAACGAUUUCUAUUAUACUUGGUGAGCUCCCUUUCCUCACGUGCAAUAUGUCAUCUUGGAUUCUGGCAUUGCUCAUUGCAACAGUCAAAUCCGUUUUGUCGUUUACAUGAUAAAUUGAUGUACUUGAGCAGGCAAUUGAACCAAUGACCCUUUGGGCAGUCACCACCACUAAAGAUUUUAAAUCUUGGCGGAAUGGAAGGUUAAGAGUUCAAACUUUAUUUUUCAUCAAUGUGUCACUAUAUGUGAUUUUUUAUAAAUCCAUACGGGUGCAUAAUGCACCUGUCUAAUCCGAUAAUGGUUCAGUCCUUGUCGAUUUCUCUAAAUCUCGUUGGAUCUCUUCCCCUUCCCUAGUUCAAUGAUGGUUCAGUCCCCGUCGAUUUCUCCAAAUCCCGUUGGGUCUCUUCUCGUCCCCUAGUAUAGGCAAAAAAAGAGAAGGCAAAUGAGAAACAUUGAAGGUUGAUCAAUUAAGAGAUAAAACUUGAUGACAAGGGGAGAAGUGUGUAUUUAUUGGUUAUAACAUAGGCAAGAUUAACUAUUGUAUUGCCCUAAUCAAUUACGAGAGAAACUUGAUGACAAGCGGGAGAAGUGUGUAUUUAUUGGUUACAGUGUAAGCUCUUGUUGUGUGUGUAUAUAUAUAAAGAGCAAGCAAAUGAGAAACAGUGUAGGCUGAUCAAUUAAGUGAGAAACUUGAUGACAAGGGAGAGAAGUGUGUAUUUAUUGAUUAUAAUGUAGGCUAAUCAAUUAAGUGACAAAUUUGAUGACAAGGGGGAGAAGUGUGUAUUUAUUGGUUAUAGUGUAAGCUAGACUAACGGUUAUAUAUAUAUAUAUAUAUAUAUAUAUAUAUAUAUAUAUAUAUAUAUAUAUAUAUAUAUAUAAGAGUAGGUAAAUGAGAAAGAGUAUAGGUUGAUCAAUUGAGAGAGAAACUUGCUGACAAGGGGGAGAAGUGUGUAUUUAUUGGUUAUAGUGAAGUCUCUCGGAUUUAUAGGUUGCAUAAUCCUGUAUAAAUAAUCUCACGCUUCAAAUGACCAAACCGCGUAUGCCACAACGAAUUACUAUCAUCUAUCACCAUAUUUAAACAGGAAAAAUUGGCAAUACUCAAAUUCAGUAGAAAUAAGCGAUUUGAAGUCAUUGGUACACUAACAAUCAUUCCAAUAUUUUUAUCAAAAAGAGUACAAAUAUCAUUCGUGAUACAAAUAUCACAUUUUUUUCUCUGAGAACUAAUCCAUACUAAACAAAUUAUAAUGCAACUCAGGAACAUAGAAAACAUCAAAAAUAAAAUCAGUAGACCAAUUUUUCAAGCUAAUAGGAAUUUUUUCCUUACCCAACACAGGUAAAACAAUGUUAUUUCCAAAUUUAACUUACCACCGAUAGAUUCAUUAUGUUCAACAAAUAAUUCUUUCUUGCCAGACAUAUGGUUAUUGCAGCCCAUAUCCAAGUAUAAUUUAUUUUUAUCAAUCACAUCAACAGCAUUACAGGUUAAUAAUAAAGUAGGAGUAGAAAUAGGAAUAUGUUAAACUAACUGUUGCUAUCUAAUAAAAACAAAAAAAACAAAAGCAGGCGAAUGAGAAACGAGAAGAACUUACAAUGGUGAUAGUGUCCAUUUUCUUUUAGAAUUUUAGAAAUAAUCAUCAACAAAAUGUUUAAAUUUGCAAAAAUAAUAAGGGCUUGAAAAACCAUGCGUAAGUCAUAACUAGGAAAUAAAGGAAAACUUUAACUUUCAUUAAAAAAAAAAGGAUUAAUCUUCUAUACACUUUCACCAUUAAAUACAUGAUAUAUAAUCCAAAUUUUGCAAAUGUGUCAUGCAUCCGAUCAUGAUAGUGUAUACACUGUCAAUCUAUAUAAGAUUUACUAAAAAAAAAAAAGGUCUAGGCUUUGUUUUUAUGUAACAAAAGUAGGAAAAGUUUCAAGAAAGGUUCAUGCUCCCAAAACUAUUCAAAUAACCCAAUGUGUGUUUGGUUUUAAAACAAAAAAAUAUCAAUAAAUUCAAUAUUGAAAAAUUUGACCUAUUUCUCUUUCAUUAUUUCUUCAAGUUAUUCCAUUAGAAAAGUUAUUUCUAAUUCAUUUUUGAUAUUGAGAGAACCUUUUUAAAACUCCUUAAAACUUUUUUAUUUUAUUUGAGAGAAACUUCUCCUUAACACCAGACAAUAGAAAAACAACUAUUAAACACAUGAAAUAACUUUUCAGUUUUAAUCACUUAACCACAAAAAAGACCUUCUUAAUUAAGUUUUUGUUUUCUUUUAUCUACAAAAAAAGAUAUUUUAUGCUAUGCACUUGGCAUGGUUACAUACCCUCAAUGUGAUAAUUUCGGUAAGAAAUUUGUUUUUGCCACAUGUAGAAGGAAAAAAUGACAACUAUAAUACAUUUUCUUGUGAAUUUUGGUAGAAAAUAUGUACACUUGAGGAUGUAAUUAUUCACAAAUAACUAAUUUUCAUUAAUUUAGUCAGAAGACAUGCAGUUGUUUCUUUACAAUAUGUGUUCAUGAUGGAGUAAUAUUCGAUUUGAGAUUGUUGGAUUAAUUGUAUUACAUCGGAAAAACAAAAUUGCUGGGGUGGCAAUCCCGAAUAUAUAAUGAAGGGUAACAAAAUAAUAUGGAGAAUUUCUGAUAGGUACAGUUUAUAAUUAGCUCAAACUUCUCAUUUGCAUAAAACAUAUGCUAGAUUUCCCAAAAAGCCCUUGAUCUGUUUACCUGGACCCGGAUGCGGGUCUUCCCUAUCCGUGGCGGGAGCCCAUUUUCCAACCUCUAAAACUAGGGAUGGCAAUGAGGACGGGUGCCCGUUUCGAUUUUAAACGGGGGAAAAAAUUCCCCCCGGGUCCUCGCCCCUGCCUCAAUGACUGCGGGAACUCAGGAGUAGGGGUGACAAUCGGGUCGGGUUCGGGUUGGCGGGUCGGCUUAAGGCCCAAGCAUAACAAAAAAUCCUCUGACCCGAACUCGACCCGCCAACCCGAAACGGGUCAGGAUACCUGACAUGAACCCGAAAAUUUCGGAUUGGCGGGUCGAUCCGAAACUUAAUUUUAAUUUAUUAAUUUAUUACUGUAAUUUUUAAUAAAAUCAAUUUCUCACAAAAUUAAUUACAUAAUCAAGUAAUAAAAAUUUAAAUAAAUAAUUUCAAACCAAAUCUAAAAUAAAUUAAACAUCGUAAAAGUGUUUUAUCCCAAACCAAAUAUAAAAUAAAUUAAAACAGCAUAAAAGUAAAAAAUAACAUAAUAUAUUAUUUGUCCAAAUAUAAUAAUUUCAACUUCACACAAGUUAAAUAAAUUCAUUUAGGAUUAAGUAAUUAAUGCCUUUGAAAAAAAAGAAUGAUUUAGUUUAGUUAGAUAAAAUAAUUUUUAUGUUUAUUAAAUUAUUUUUAAUUCGUAAAUGGGUCACAUCGGGUCAUAUCAGGUCACCACGGGUUGACCCGAAAUUGACAUGUUUUCUUUUCGGGUUCAUCGGAUUCGACCCGAUUCUGACCCGAACCCUCAAAACCUCAACUCAAACCCAUUAAUUUCGUGUUAGAUUCGUGUCGUGUUUUCGGGUCGUGUUAGAAAUUGCCACCCCUACUCAGGAGGUUUGGCCAAGACAAGCUCCUAGUCAUUACUAUUCCUCUACUCAUUGCAGAGAAAACUUUCAAGACUAAUCUACACUCUGCAAAGUUCAACAAAAGAAAGGCCAGCAGUGCACAUGCUACCCUUGUAAUUACAACCUUAUGAACAUUUAGGUAUCAACUAGAGGUAGCAAUUUGUCCCAAGUCCCAAUGAGUUACCCAUGCCCAUAGGGACUUUGGGUGGGAUGGGUACUGGAAUUUGAUAUUAGGUUGAAAAUGGGACAAAUCUCAAUUGUACCCAUUAAUUGAUGGGAAAUUUUGGAAAAUACUUGGGUACCCAUUAGGCUCAAAUAACAGGGGCUCUGUUUGGAUUAACUGUUUUUUUAGGUAUUUUUGAAAUAUUUUAUUGUCGCAGUGUAUAUGAAAAAUUUUUACUAUAAAUUUUUUUUGAAAUAUUUGAUAUACUAAUAUGGAUGAGAUAUUUUUUGAGUUAUUGUAUAUUACUGUAACAUUGUAUUUGAAAAUUUUGUUUUUUGAAAAUAUAGCCAAUCCAAACGGAGUCUUAGAUUCAAAAAUUAUUUUUAACAAUUUUUAUAGCCAUACCAACGAAUAUAAUCUAGCAGUCUUCCUAGUCAUUAUCCACUAGAAUUUCCAGCAUUUCAGUCAGUUUAGACCUGUCAUCCUUGGACAAUGAUGAGGAUAAAUAUUCAACACCUUAAGUGCCUUGGUUAUCUUGAUAUAUGUUGGAAUAUGGUUGUAUUAUAUUUAUCUUUUCCUUUAUUUGUUAAUCCAAUUUUUGGUGGGAAUCCUGAGUAUAAAACACUUGCAUGUUUAUUUAAUAAAACUAAAAGAAAUUUAAUAAAUAAAAAAUAUUAAAGUUAUAUAAAAAAUAAAAAAUGAAUUAAAGGAAAAAAUAUAUAUAGAAAAUAGAUUUGAGUAUUGGGCGGGAUCAAUCUAAAUCCAUUCCAAAGUGAUUCCGUCCAAGUUGGUCCUAAAACACAAUGGAUAAGGUUAGACCCAAACUCAUAUGACUCGGUUCCGUUUUAAAACCAAGUAAAUCCCGCCCAUCCCGCCCAUUUUGCCACCUCUAGUAUCAACUAAACUAAACACGUACUUCUAAGUCAUGAUCUCAAGCUGAAGUUGUUUCUGGGUUGACGCUCUAUGAAGAACCAAAAAGGGUGCAAAUUGCGGGACGUUUGCUAAUAUGAUCAGGGCACUUUAAAAGAAGCUCCUUGGCCUCAGAAUGUCUACCCUCAUUGAAGAAGGACUUGAAAACACGUUGGCAAGCCAAAAGAGAUGGAUACGUUUUUUAACUUAGUGCCAUAAAAAAUUCCCAAGUAUCCUCACUGGAACCAAGGCCCUGUUUGGAACCUUGGUUUUUAGGCAAGUUUUCAUAAUACUAGUUUUUUAAUAACUUUUGCUACAGGAACUCCAAAAACUUAUCAAAGUUUUUAACCUACACACUUUAAAAUAUCCAAAAUACAAAAAAAAAAAAAAAAAAAAUUCCCUUCCUCUUUUCUUGUUCUUCCUCCCCCAUCCCAACCCACCACCACCUCCGCCGCCGGUUCUAGCACCAAUCACCUCUUCCGGUGCCAGUCUUUUUUUUUUUCCCUUUCUUCCUUUCCCCCUCUUCCUCCCCUGCCAUCCUCCCCCUUUGCCCGAUUUUGAUCCUCUCUCUUUUUUUUUCUCCCUCUCCCUCUCCCCCACUCCUCCCCCACCAUUCUUCCUGGGCUCCAACCCGGCCCUACCAUAGCCCAACCUUAUCUUUUCCACCUUCAUAUUUCAUAACAGGCAGGAGUCAAGUCAAGCCACGCCCCUUUCAGGUGCCGGUCUUCUUUUGCAGAGGCGGGCGAGGGAAGGGGAAUGGGGAGAGGGAAGGAGAGGGAUGGCGGGAGAAGGAAGGGGAAGGGGAGAGGGAGAAGAGGGGUGGUGGGGAAGGGAGAGGGAGGGGUGAUAGGGAGAGGUAGGCGUGACGGACAGAGUGGUAGCAGGGGAGAGGGGAGGAAAGGGGUGGCGGGCAGGAGAGGGGAAGAGAAAAAAAGCAAAAAAAAAAGAAGAAAGAAAGUUGCUGCUUUUGCUGGCAGUUUCGGGAGAAGGAUCAGGGGAGGGGGAAGGGAAGGGAGAAGAAGUGGGAAGGGAGGAAGGAAAAGAAAAAAGAAAGAAACAAAAAAAAAAAGAAAAAGAAAGAAAGAAAAGGAAAAGGAAAAAAAGUUUUUUUUAUCUCACAGAAGAAAUUUUUCUACAACUUCUACAGUGAUCUACAGUAAAGUUUUAUACAAACACUCAAAAAACUCACACUUCCAAACGAGGCACAAAUUUUGAGAUAUACUGGACAAAAGGCUCUCGAUAUGGUCGAUAAUCGUGUUUCAUCAUAAGCCGAAGAAGGUUCAAGGCUUCUUCCAGUCUCCUCUCUCCAAGAAGCUCUUCCCCCGCCUCGCCACCCGUUUGAAAUAUAUAUAUGUAUAUAUGUACAUAAUUAUAUAUGUCGCGCCCCAUUUUUUGAUAAAUAAAUAAAUGGUUUGAGAAAAUGUAUUUUUUGAUUCAAUUUGUGAUUGGAAAAUGAAUUGUUAUUUAAAAGAAAAAUGGGUCUAAAUGGGGGCUUGAGAAUGCGACGAUUUGACCCAAAAUUAUAGUUUAAAAAGGGUUUUUGAAGUAAAAAAUCGGAGUCGCCACUUGGUAAUGAGUUAAGGUGUACCAAGUCACCUAAAAAUGAAUUUUUAAAGAAAAAUAGGAGAAAAUAUUAAGAAACCCUUUUAAACGACUCCUAGUCCACGUAAACCAACGAAAAAGGUUCGGGAGUCACAUUUGACGAAGGGGAAGGCAAGGAUAAAAAUCCAAGGCACCCCUUCGACCUAGCCAAGGCUAGUUGCGUGAUUUAAUCAAAUAUUUUCUUGUUUUAACCAAAGAAUUUAUUACAUUUGGAUGUACUAUAUGAAUGCAAACCCUAGACCUAGGGGUAUUGGGGGAAAUUUCUCUUCAAAGGUUGAAUGGUGCCAAUCACAUUAAUUGUGAAGCCCAAUAAUGACCCUUUGGAGAGGUCACGAAUAAUGCGAGUGAGAUGCAAAUGAAUGAAAUGCAUGUAUGCAAUGUGAGGACAUGAGUUUGAAAAAGUAAUAAAAAACAAUAAAUAUGUAAAUGAAAAUGUGCACGUGAGUGGGCAAGGUACGGUAUGUGAAAUGAUAAUAUGAAGUGCAUGUGUGCAAGUGAUGAUAAAAGUGUUCGUGUGCAAGUGAAGAAAAAUAAAGGUGCACGUGUGCAAAAUGGGAGGAAAAAUGAAAGUGUGAUGAGGGUAUAAAAUGGUAGAGUGGAUUUGAAAAUGCAUGAGCCUAGGGAAUUCAUGCAUAUUGGGUACGGGGAGACCUAAAUCGUGACUCAAUUUGCCCUUUUAUAGAGGGAAUACAAGCGUGCUAAGGCUUAGAAAAAGCCACACUCGUCUAUAUCCCAUAUUUAAGGGGACCCUCAAGCAGAUGAACCCUAUAACUAGCAUGAAAUGCAAAAAUCCUAAAAUGGAGGGAAAAGGGGUUCGAGGGGCAUGCAAAAUGAUAAAAUUAAAAAAAAUGCAUGACAUGUAAUGAACAUGCAAACAUGUACUAACGAGGGGAAGUCCCUAAGGGUCUAGCGUUGGACUAGCCCAUUCUAUGAAUUCCGACUAGCGUUGGACUAGUGGAAACGUACAUUCAUCCAUCACAUUCAUUUAUAAAUAUAGAAAGCAAGUAGACAUGCAAAAUCACUUAUAACACGUAGCACAUAACACUUAGCAUGCUCGACUAGAUGCAAUAGCUUAAUAAAGCAAAUUAAACACAUAGCAAACCAAAUAAUACCCCAAAAGCAAAUGAAACUAUUACAUGGGCUAACUAAAACAAAUGGGGGAAGGGGGAAAAAUGGACAAAGUGCUCUCCAAUGCCCUAUCUAUUACAAGCCAAGAGGUGUACACAUACCCCAUAAAUAAAAUAAAAGAAAGACUUAAAAAUGAAAGGAAUUAAAGAAAACUUAAGAAAGCCAAGUAGACAUGCAAUUCACGUAACACGUAGGAGCACGUAAGAGAGAAGUAAAGAGGAUAAAAGAAAGUUAUACCUUCCCCUAAUGGUAAGCAAAUGAAGGAAAAUGGCUUCAAAACAAUAAAGGGGUCAAGGCAUCAAUUUAAAAGUAAAGUAUAAGCAAAAACAUCAAAAACCACCUAAUUGCAACUUGAAUGAGCUCAAAAAAUGCUUAAAGACCAAGAAAACGGAAUAACCCGUUCAAUUUCCAAAUAUAGCAUCUACUAAAGACCCAAAACAAGCAUUACUCGAACAUUCAAGUCCAAAUAAAUUGUUUAAGCACUUCAAAGAUCUUAAAAAUAAAGGAAAAGUCAAACAAAGAUUGAAGUUGCAAUGAUUUUAGGACUUAAUUACAAGAUACUAGAACAUGCUUGGGCUCUUGUGGAACAAAAAGAAACUUAAAAGGAUCAAAUUGAUUAAAUGUUCCAAUUACUUGGGCCCUAGUGAGUCAAGAGGGGACUUGGGGGGUUAAAAAUGUAAUUUUCAGAAAUUAUUUCAUGCAAAACCCAUGCAAGCUACGUGAAAAUCAACAUGAGAAACAACAUUCUGCAGCAGAAAUUUCUGCUGAAAGCUUUCGGCAACCCAGAAGACAACCGUGACUUUCAUUUUCUCAACCUUAACACCAUUUUGAUCGAAAAAUCUUCUAACCAACACAUUAAAGCAUGAAUCUAACAACCAAACAAACAGGUAAAUCAAAUUCAAAGUGAGUUUCUGCAAUAUUUUCUCUCAUGUUUGCUCAAACGAAACCCAAUUCAAACUCACAUCUUAUUUUCCAAAAAAAAACAGAUCUCAAGCUCACAUACAUAGCUUUAACUAAGCUGCAAACUAUGUCAUCACCAUCGCCUCAACAGGUAGAAAAUUUAGAAGGAAAAAACAUGCAAGUUCUAUGCAAUAGCCAUGAAACAAGUUUCUGCAAUUACUUCACAUACUCUAGCAACCGAAGACUGCUGCACUUUCUUCUCAAGCUCAAGCUUCUUAAUCACAACCGUGAUCAAAUUUUCCAAACCAACCAAUUUCAUUCAGACCCAACAAACAGAAAACUUAGCAACUUUAUUCAAACAAACAGAAAAAUUAGCAACUUCAUUCAAACAGAAAAAUUAGCAAAACAUCAAAGGUUUGAAACUUCAGCAAACAAAUCUUUUGAGCUUAGGCAGUUCGCAUGGAAGCUGCACUCAAGCAUUUCGAAUCACAAACCCAUGCUCAAAAUCCUGUUAAGCUUCUCAUGCAUACAAACUACAACUUUCGGUCAAGGCUGGAAUUACUAUCUAACAAAAACAGCAAAGUUUGGAACCGCAAUGGAAGAAAAUAGCAAGACACAACCGUAAAUUUCUGGUGCAGCAAAAAAUGAAUAUGCAUUUUCCAGCAGGUAGUUGGUCUUAAAUCCGAAUUUACCUCGGUUGAAUCAUUGUGCUAAGUACUCAAAACUAACAUGCAAGGCUACUUAAUGAAAUUACUAUCAUAACUAGUUCAAAUCAAGUUCGGUCAGCAACUAUAAUCAUCCACAAUUCCAGAAAUUCUGUUCACCACCCUCGGAUGAACUUGCAUGUAGCAGUUUUCUGUUUCAUAUUUUUUCCUUGCUUAGCCGAACUAAUGAACUUCAUGCAAAGCUUAAUCACCUACUUCUUAGCUAGUUAAUCACAUUUAUAAGCUCAGCCUGCCUCAGGGGAACGAAAUUAAAAUUGCAUUUCCAUUUCAGCUUCUCGGCAAAGCUGGAAAAUUAGUUUAGCAGUCUAAUACUUCCAAUAAAAAAAAAUCCAGCCAUGCAACCGAAAUCCUGCCCAUAACGUUCACAUGCAGUACCAAAUAAAGAACUAUUUAGCAGGUUGAGUUCAAAAUUAAGCUCAGAUCAUCACAACUAGCAAAUUAAAAAAAAACCGAAACUUCCAGCUCAAGCUCUCGGCAGCUUCACUUCCUUCUCAAACAGAUUUUUCUGUGACUUAAACUAUCAUCUAGCCACACAAUCUCACAUGCAUGCUUAUAAACAACUUCAUCAAGCCAUAAUCAACUAGCUUAAGUCCAGAAAUUACCUCAGCUUAAGGCUCAAAUCACGCAACUAGCAGCUGCAAAAAUCCUCUACUCUCGGCUGUCCAGAAUUUCAGUCCGCAACUCUCCUUCUCCCUUGCUCUAGCUUGCGACCAGUAUGAAGACAAUAUGGCUCCCAAUCUCUUUCUAGUUUACAGACGAAAGGAAAUGGAUGAAAAGCUCACACGGACAGCAGCUGCAAUUUUUCCUCUCGGCAGCUCACGCACGCGAGGAUGGUUAGUCUGAAUUCAGUGGUUGCAGCUGUAAUGGUUGUGACUGAAUUGAUCACGGCUAGUUGAGGGUGAAAAAUGGAAUGGCAGCUCCCUCUCCCUCGCUGGUUUCCUCACUUCGAUGAUUCCAAGGUAGAGGGUGUUGUUGUAGCUCACCGAAAGCUCACUCAGACGACAGAAAGCUGAUGUUUCUCUCCUCUCUGCUCGCUCGCGGUUGGAUGUGUUGGUCCUGGUUGCGGAUGGUUGAAGCUGUGGUGUUUCGAUUGGAACUGGUGAAGAUGGUGAUGAUCAGUAGCUCACUCGACUGCCUCUUGCUCUCUCUCUCGCUUGACUUCCUCGGACAGAACAGAAAUACAGCUCGCGGCUCGCUCUCUCUUCACCUUUCUCCUGCUCAAUCCGAGGAGUUCUCCCUCUCUUGCUCUCGUCGAUGAUCACGAGGUGGAGAAUGGAGAUGGAGUGUUUGUGGUUGAGGCUGAGGUAGUGGAGUGAUUCGCGGUAGUGGAGGUUGAGUGUGUGUGUCGAGGGAAGGGAAUGCACUCCGGCAGAGAUGGAAAUGUUAUUUUUAUUUUUAUUUUUUAAUUAAUUAAUUAAACAACAAAAAUGAUAAUAAUAAAACAAUAAUAAUUAAUGAUGAAAACAACUUAAUUAACAUUAGAUAAAAAUAAACUAAAAACAACAAAAAAUGCAAAUUUCCAUUUUUCAUUUUCAUUUUUCACUUUUCUUUUGUUUUCGAAAUAACCUAACCAAAAAAUAAAUAAAGUCAAAAGAUUGAAUUUAAAAAGAAAUAAACCUAUUUUGUGAACAAUUUUCCUUUUUCUCUUUUUUCAUGAUUUUUCUACGCUAAAACUUAAAAAUAAAAAUAGAAACUAGAAACUAAAAAAAACUAAAAGCAACCACGAUAAAUGAGAAUAAAAAGUAAAAGAAAUUACACCAAAAAUUUGGUGUCUACAAUAUAUAAAAUGAUAUUAUCAAUUAUACUACUAAUUAUACAUGUUUAUUAAUAAAAUUUAUUAAUUAUUUAUACUAAAUUUGUUAAUACAUUUAUGUUAAAUUUCUAACUACACUUAAUGCAAUAACACUUUUUUCUAAAAAAAACACAAGAAUAAUUUAGUGAUUGUAUUUGUAUCAAAGUGAAAAUUUGAUUAUUUUAGUUAUAUUUGUUUUAUCAUAUUAGAUUGUAUUCAAAUAACCUUUGUUUAAUUAUUUUUAUGAGUUUUAAUUGUGAAGUUAGAAUGAAUAAUAAUUUGAUAAUGUGUUGAUAUUUUAGUACUUGAUUAUUUGCUUUAAUUUAAUUAUAAUGAAAUUAUAUAAUAAUUUUUUUUUAAUCUCACGGGUGUCCUGCGGAAAAAACGGGUAGAAUAGGACGGGAGCGGGGGCGGGGAAAUUAAAAGGGUUAAUUACAUUUAUCUCCCCUGAGGUAUAACCAAACUACCAGUCAAACCCUGAGGUUUGGUCAAAUAACAAAUAAACCCCUAUCACUAACUUCUGUUAAAUGUCCGUGACGGAAUGAGUAAAAUGACUACAUACCCAAAAUAGUUGAAACUGCCUGUCUUACAAACAUCGUGUACCUUCUUUUCUUUGUUUUUUUUUUUUUUUCCAAUUUUCUGGAACCCUUAAAGGUGACAACAAUGGCAGCAGGAAUGUUUGGGCUGCUGUUGCUGCAUCCAUCAUCAGCCAUAUGCGCCUGCCACCGUCGCCAAUCGUCGACUCCAGCCUCUUCAUCUUUCUUUUGUGUGGGUUGCCAUUCUUGAUACAAACUCAACCAAAACUCACUGCAUAACUGUUCAAAUAGGCCUACAUGUGAGGCUGAUCUGUCUUGCCUUUCCCAUCGGAAGCAAAGACCAAAUUCCACACUUUUGCAGUAAAGCACUUCUCAUUGGGGUAGAACACGAACAAGUCAAAUGAAUCAAUGUUGGCUACUUCCAUCUUUUGGACAGCAAGUUUUAACCUCAAAAUUGAAAAAAAAAAAGAAAAAAAAAAUUUAAAAAAUUGCAAGUGAAGAUUAAUCACCGGCUACUCCAUUACCUUCUUCAAAAACCCAUUUGGUAUCACUCACCAAAUUUAACACGAGCCUUUUUCCUAUCCCUUACCAAAUUUAAGACAAGCCUUUCAAAUGAUAUGAAGGACAAACUUCCAAAUCUCAACUUACAAAAAACUGGAAAAAAACAAAAAUUCCAUAUCUAGUAGCCAAGACAUUUUGAAGAUAAUAGUUUCACUUGUGUAUCUAAGCAAUACCAAAUGAUUUCUCUAGACAUGGUCUACCAAUUCUGGUGCAAAUCCAGCACUAUAAUGUCUGUAUCUUCAUAUGUUCGUAAUGGCUUAACCAAAGAAGAAAUAAAAAAUUGGAUGGAAGAGGAAAAGGUAACGACUUUGGUUUAGAAAGAUGGAUGAGGAGGAGAAAAGAUGGAAGAAUUAGAAUAUGUGAUAGAAUUGACGGCAAAGAAGGGUUAAUGGUUGGAAGCAAUUUAACAUACAAUUUUGGUGGAGAUGCAGACGCUGAAGUUGCAGACUUGAAAGGGAGUCUACCACACUACUUUUUUUCCCUUUUCUUUUUAUUAUUUUGAGGUGAAUUCUUAUUUUAUUCAAUUUGUUGGUUUAUAUUUUUUUUAUGUAAAACAUAAAAUGCCUCUAGAAGGGCAUUUUGGGAUUGCCGCGCUAAUUUUUUGCUAACCUUACCAGCUUCACUAACGACUCCAGACGGUAGGGAUGCUUUUGAUAAAGUUUUGCCUAGUCAGAGGGUUUGAUUGUUAUUUUGUCAAACCUCAAGAUUUGAUUGGUAAUUUGGUCAAAUCUCGGGGAGGUAAAUGUAAUUAACCCAAAUUAAAAUGCAACGGGGCGGGGGUUGGGGGCCGUGUCCCCCGCCCCAUUGCCACCCAUAUCUAAUACCCGCAAGAAAACUUCAAGAAAACCUCUGCAGAUGAAGCUGCAAUGAAGCAUCAAGCCAGGAGAUUCCUGACUAGUCACAGAUUCGCCAACUCGCUCCACUCAACUCGCCUGCCCAGAACUCGCUCUCUCCACACUCAGGUGACUCAGUUCUCUCACCACUCAUCCCCUUCUCUUUCUACCCGAAGUUCCCUUUCCCUUUCUUUGCUGGAUUUAAGAUCCCAAAUUGAAAAGCUGUCCAAAUCACGGAAGUCAGAAGCAUUAAGUAAUGAAAUCUUAUCAGAAAAUCGAGGAUUGCCUGAUUCUAUGAGGAUAUUACAUGAAGACCCAAAAUUUGAUUUACUCUUUUACAGGUGGGCCGCCGAGGAAAAUGGAUUUAGGCCAUGUUCAUCAAGUUAUAAUUCACAGCUGAAGUUGUGUGCUAUAAAUGAUGGAAUGAAGGAAUUUUUGGUUGUUGUCAGAAGUUGUAAAAGAAAGGGAACUUAUAUUGGUCAGAAGACAUAUUUAGAUAUUUAUUCGGAUCUUAGGAGAUUGAAAAGGGAUGAUGACGCUGCUGAGUUGCAGCUUUUUUAUGAGAACAUGGUUUUUCAAAAUGCUAUUAAGGGAGUUGCCAAGAUGGUGGCCCAGAAUUUGGAUUGGGGUAGUGAAUUGGAGGGAAAAUUGGGAGAAAUGAGGAUAUGGGUACAGGAGAAUUUUGUUUUAGGAGUAUUGAAGGAGCUUAAGGGAAAAGGUUUGCCUUUGAAGGCUUUGAGCUUCUUUAAAUGGGUUGGGGAGAGUUUGGGGUUUGAGCAUAAUAAUGCUACUUAUAAUCGGAUUCUUAGGAUUCUUUGCACGGAAGAAACGAUUACGGAGUUUUGGAGUAUAUUUGAGGAGAUGAAAGAUGCUGGUUAUGUAAUUGAUAGUGAUACUUAUGUUGAAGUGAUGUUGGAGUUUCAGAAGAGUAAGAUGGUGAAGGACGCGGUUGAGCUUUUUGAGUAUAGGAUGGGUACUCCAUUUAAGUAUUUGGAGGGGGAGUGUGGCUUGCUUUUUAAUGUCAUUUCAUCGACAAUUAAUCCAGACUUGGACCUGAUGUUUAAAGUUGUGAAGAAAUAUGAGGCAGCCGGGUAUUGUUUAUUGAAGAGUGACUAUGAGGGGAUCCAUAGGUGUUUGACUAGUGCUGGGAAGUUUGAUGAAGCAGAGAAGAUCAUCCAGACCAUGAGAAGGGCCGGUUAUAAUCAGUGUAACGUGACAUACAGACAAUUGAUUUUUGGACUUUGUAAAGCAGGGAGGCUAGAGGAAGCCUGUGAAGUAGUAGACAUGAUGGAAGUGCAGGGAUACAUUCCUGAUAUCAAGACUUGGAUCACACUAACAAAAGGGUAUUGUGAUGUUAAUGGAGUUGAUAAGGCACUUCCAUGGUUUGGAAUUUUGGUGAAAAAAGGCUUUGAUGCAUAUGCUGGUCUUUUGGAUUUUCUAGUAUAUGGAUUUCUGAAAGAGAAGAGGGUCAUUGGAGCAUACGAGUUAGUUGUGGAAAUGGUUGGCAAGGCUCACAUGAUACCAUGGCACGCUACAUUUAGGAAUCUGAUUGAAGAGCUUCUCGGAGAGAGGAGACUGGAAGAGGCCUUGAACCUUCUUCGGCUUAUGAUGAAACACGAUUAUCGACCAUAUCGAGAGCCUUUUGUCCAGUAUAUCUCAAAAUUUGGUUCCGUGGAGGAUGCUUGGGAAUUUUUGAUGGCACUAAGUAAAAAAACAUAUCCAUCUGUUUUGGCUUGCCAACGUGUUUUCAAGUCCUUCUUCAAUGAGGGUAGACAUUCUGAGGCCAAGGAGCUUCUUUUAAAGUGCCCUGAUCAUAUUAGCAGACGUCCUGCAAUUUGCAUCCUUUUUGGUUCAUAGAGCAGCAACCUAUAGGCAACUUCAGCCUGAGAUCAUGACUUAGAAGUACGUGUUUAGUUGAUACCUAAAUGUUCAUAAGGUUGUAAUUACAAAGGUACCAUGUGCACUGCUGAACUUUGCAGAGUGUAGAUUAGUAUUGAAAGUUUUCUCUUGCAAUGAGUAGAGGAAUAGUAAUGACUAGGAGCUUGUCUUGGCCAAAACUCCUGAGUCAUGGCUAAGGCCUUUAUUCCUUUUGGCCUUGAAAGACCCUCAGAUAUAUAAUCUAACAUCUAAGUCUUGGGAGGGAUACGAUUGUAUAUACUGCAUCUUUCAAGAAAUGUAUGUGCUUGCUCUAUCUGCAAAUCAUUUUCUUUUCAUGACAUGAUUUGGCAAUGUGCAGAGUCUUCAUGACGAACAUUUCACAGCAUUAUCUGCUUUCCAAACUCUUUAUCUCAGUAUUCGCAUGUCCAGAAGGUUCUCCUCCAUGGUUAUACAUCUUCAUUUGCUGAAUCAUGUUCUCCUACUUUUCUUUUGCAGUGCUCCUUUGCAUUGUAUGUACUUUUCUCCUGCUGUAUUCGCUAAUCUGGCCUCAAAUUUCUUUCACAUUCUGUCCAACAAGUAGAGUAGAAUACUUUGAAAUUGGUGUAUUGGUUAUGUAGUUAUUCUUACAGUCAUUGUUCGCCUUUUUGUUCAUCAUGGCUGGCAGAAAGACUCUUUACCCGGAUGGCCAAAUGGAGUUUUCCAUUAUCUUCUCUGAGAUCAGACACUUAGAAUUUUGGACAGUUACAAAUGAUUCAAUAUCUGUAUCAUAUGAAUUUUGGGGUCUACUAAUGCCUUUUUUUUUUUAUCGCACCAGUUAGAAGUUGGUUGAAACAAAUUAUUUUCUUGUCAUUCCUCAAAAACUGAAGAAUGUGAAUGUUCCUCAAAAUACUAUCAUGGAAUAGUGAAUUGGAAUGUGGGAAGCUCUUAUAUAAUGAAAGAUAGUGGAACUGGCUCUCAAAAUCAAAGGCAAUUAUCUUUGACCAUGUGGAUAACAUUUGAACAAGUAAAGCAUUCGCAAUUGUGAGUCUAAUGACUUGUUCUUAUGAAAAUGAUGAUAAAUCUGGGAAUAAUAGUUACUAUCCAAAUAGUUGAUUUCAGUAAAGAAUUUUCUUUUUCUAGAGGGCUUCAUAACAAAUCACUUGUAUAAAUGUUUGCCUCAGGCAUUGUUUAUGUCAGAGAAGUAUCUUAAUAUAAAUAAAUAAAUAAAACUAAUCAACAUAUAUAUAAGAUAGCAAACUUGUACCAAUUUCUCUUUCAUAAUUCUUCAAGAUAUUUCAUUAAGAAGGUCAUUACCUAUUCCUAAAGCUUUUUUUUUUUUUUUCAAGAACACAUGCAUCAUGAUGAAGUAACUUUAAAUUUGAGACUAUUGGAUUAUAUGGAUCACAUAGGAAAAGAUUGGCAAGGGGUGGCGGGUGCAAAACAAGAAAUAUAAGUUCAGAUGGGGACAAUUUUUAAUUGGCACAAACUUCUCUUGCGUAAAGCCGUAGACUAGCAUGUAGUACCUAAUUUUCCAAAAAAGGCCAUCUGUUUACUUGGAUCCGGAUGCGGGUCUUCCUUACCCGUACCAGGAACCCACUUUCCAACUCCUAAAACCCGCAAAAAAAAAAAAUCCCAUUUCAAGAAAACCUCUGCAAAUGACGGCGGAAGCAACAAUGAAGCAACAAGCCAGGAGACUCCUGAGUUGUCUCCGAUUCGCCAACUCGCUCCACUCAACUCACCUGCUGAGAACUCGCUCUCUCCACACUCAGGUGACUCGGUUCCCUCACUAUUUAUCCCCUUUUCUUUUCACCCGAAGUUCCCAUGACAGUGGUUAUUCGGCUCUUAGAUCCCAGCUUCAAAAGAUGGUAGAAGACAGACAGUCAGAAAGAGUGCUUUUCUCAGAGUUACAGAGAGAAGACAAUGCAAAUUCUCCCUUUUCCCAGUCGGAAACUGCUGGGAAAAGUUGGUUCAGGCCAUGUUCUUCAGGAUGUAGAUUAAAGCUGCAAUCGUGUGCUAUACGUAAUGAUAUGGAGGAGUUUGGGUUGUUGUUGAAAACGUUAGAAAAAGGGGAAAUUAUAUCGAUGAGGAGGCGUUUUUAGUUAUAGAAUCGAAACUUAUUAAGUUGGAUAGGGUUGAUGAUGCUAAGGAGUUGAAGCUUUUUUUUUAUCAAAAAUUGAUUCUUGAAAUUGCUAUUAAGAGAGCUGUGAAUUUGGUGGCCGAGAACUCGGACUGGGGCGGUGAAUUGGAGAGAAAAUUGGGAGAGAAUGGUAUAUCAGUGCAGGAGAAUUUUGUUUUGGGGGUGUUGGAGGGGCUUGGUAAAAAAGGUUUGCCUUUGAAAGCUUUGGGUUUUUUCAAAUGGGUUCGGGGGAGUUUGGGGUUUGAGCAUAAUAAUUUUACUUAUAAUUGGAUUCUUAGGUUUCUUUGCAGGGAAGAGGCGAUUUCGGAGUUUUGGAGUAUGUUCAAGGAGAUGAAAGAUGCUGGUUAUGUAAUUGAUACUGAUACUUAUAUUCAAGUGAUGAGGGAGUUUCGGACGAGGAAGAUGGUGAAGGACGCUGUUGAGCUUUUUGAGCAUAGGAUGAAUAGUCCAUUUCAGUAUUUGCCCAACGACUGUAGUUUGCUUUUGCGUGCCAUUGCAUCGACUGUUGAUCCUGACUUGGAUCUGAUGUCUAGAGUUGUGAAGAAAUACGAAGCUGCUGGGUAUUCUUUAUUGAAGAGGGACUAUGAGGGGAUCCACAGGUGCUUGUUGAGUGCUGGAAAGUUUGAUGAAGCAGAGCAGAUCGUACGGACCAUGAACAGAGCUGGUUAUGAACCAUCUAGUAUCAUCCACAAACAAUUGAUUUUUGGACUUUGUAAAGCAAGAAGGCUAAAAGAAGCCAUUGAAUUACUAGAUGAGAUGGAAGCUCAGGGAUGUGUUCCUGAUGUUGAGACUGGGAUGAUCGAACUACUGAGCUGUUGUUGUGAUAUCGAUGGAGUUGACAAGGCAUUCCUAUGGUUUGGAAAGAUGGUGAAAAAAGGCUUUGAUGCAGAUGCUGGUCUUGUGGAUGUUCUAGUCAAUGGAUUUCUGAAAGAGAAGAGGGUCAUUGAAGGAUACCAGUUUCUUGUGGAACUGGUUGACAAGGCUCGUGUGGCACCAAAGCAUGCUACACUUAAGAGUCUGAUUGAAGAGCUUCUUGUCUCCUGGAAGAAGCUUUGAACCUUCUACAGCUAAUAAAGAAACGGAAUUAUAAACCGGAUCCAGAGCCUUUCAUCCAGUAUCUGUCGAAGUUUGGUUCUGUGGAGGAUGCUUGGGUGUUUUUGAGGGCACUAAGUCACAGGCAGGGUAAAAACCAUGUAUCUGUCUUCGGUUGCAAACGUGUUUUUCAGACCUUCUUGAAUGAGGGUAGACAUUCUGAGGCUGAGGAGCUGUUUCGUAAGUGCCCUAAGUAUAUUCGCAGAAAUCCUGAAUUUCGCAUCCAUUUUUCUUCUUCAAGGAGCAGCGACGUGGUAGCAGCUUCAGCUUGAGAUCAUGAUGGAGUCAUGCAUUCCUUAGUAUUUAUCAUGGAAAGGCUUACUGAUGUUGUUUCUCCUCACUAGUCAAAAGAUGGUUGGUUGGUUGGAACAGAUUAUUUUCCUGUCAACUACACCUUCUUCCUUUUUUCAUUUUGUCGGUUAAGUUGUUCAAUGCAAUCAUUUAAAUUUGGCUUGUUUGGAUAGUCAUUUUCUAUCGAAAAAUGACCUUAUUUUCCGUGAACACAUUUUCCUAUCAUCUUUUUACCUCACAUACAUCAAAUCGCUACAGUAAUUUUUCAACGAAAAAUCCAUGAAAAAUGCAAUCGAAACGCAAAGUUUUUGAGUGAGAUCAGAUGUAACUUCGAAAAUUUUGAGGAUUCUAUAGGAUUUAUGUUUCUAAGCUAGAAAGGAAGACGCAGUUUACUAAUUCUUAGUUGGAAAAGAGCCCGCGUUUAGACUUUUAUUGAUUGGGAGGUCCAUACAAAUGAAAUGAUCAAUUAGUGGAGAAAAUUUUUGCGAAUGUCCAUCAAAGUUUGAGCAAAAAGUUAUGGUUAUACAAUACUGCAAACUCAUCGCUACUGAAUCUAUGGCAGCUAAAAUGCUAGAAUACCAGACUUGCUCCAUUUGUUUUAUCUUUUUUAAUCUUUCAGAGAUGAAAAUUUUGAGGUUCUUGAGUGAGAGUAUUAACUCGGAGAAAGUUACUGAAACAAGAAUCAUUACACUGAGAAUAGUGUAAAACAAGAACUUCCUUUCAAAUGUGAUCCCCAUCUCAUGAGUACAGUUACUGAUCCGGACCUUUUGCAGUCACCAGUACAAUUUAGAUAGGCAUUAGCAAAACACUAUACAACAAAAGUAGAAUACAAUUUGACACACUUUUUGAAGUUGUAUCACAAAAUUAAUCAUAUCUAUUCAAUUUCAAAUUAAAAUCAUCCCUAUCAUCAACUGCACCCUACAAUCUACACUGUGAUUAUAGUAGGAGCCCCUCUUCCAUUUGAAUUCGAGCUUGAACUGUGUAAUUCGAAUGUGUAUUGUGGAUAUCACACCACACUCCAAAUGAUAAAGGAUAGGUUUAGGUGGAAAUUUUGGAUGUGAAUUCUGCAAUUUGAAAAAAAAAUGACUUUUUACAGUGACAAAUGUUUGAGUGGAGAGGGCAAGGACAUUGCCUCAAGGUGGUAAAAAACACCCUCUUCCUAUGGCAUUUUUUUUUUUUUUUCCGAAAUGAUAAGUGAUUUUAUAGAUUAUCAAAAGUUUUAUAAUUUCAAAUAAGGACUCGAUAGAACUAUACAAUUAGUGUACUUCGAUACUAAAGAAUCCAAAGUUCCUCAUCUUGAUUUGUAUCUAGAGCAUAUGAGCUAAUUCUAUUACUAAUAUGAUUAUGAUCCUUGCUGACUAGACAAAAUGAGCACAAUUGAAACAACAACUUUAAAUGAAGAAUGCCUUCCAACAAGGUAAUCUCUUCCCAUGGCAUAUGUUAGGUUGAAUCCUAGUUUUGUCAUUGAAACAACCAAAUCCUCUCUUAAAGUAUCAAUUGAUGAACUCAAAAUGUAAAACCAAAAAGGGGGAGCAAAAUUCACAUUGAUGAGUGUAAUGACCACUUUUCGCAACAAAAAAAAAAGGUUUGAUAUCGAUAGUUAUUGUCUAAAUCAUUAAUAGUUUGACAUCAAUAGUUUGAUACUAGGUCUGAGAAAAGAAAAUUCUUUUGUGGUGGGGCUUGAAAAAAAUCAUUUGCAUGUCACAACUAGAAAUAAUGCAUAACUAUGAAAAUUUGCUAAGUAGUCUAACUGAUGUGCUUACCGUUGAACUUAAUUUCCCAAAAAGCCCUUGUCUAUUCACUUGGAUCCGGGUCCGGGGACUUCCUUACCAGUACCGCGAUCCCACUUCGCAACCUCUUAAACCCUCAAUAAAAUCCCUUUUCAAGAAAUUCUCUGCAUAUUAAGCAACCAUGAAGCAUCAAGCCAAGAGACUCCUGAGUUGUCUCCGAGUCGCCAACUCGCUCCACUCAACUCACCUGCUCAGGACUCGCUCUCGCCACACUCAGGUGACUGGGUUCCCUCACCACUCAUCCCCAUUUUUUCCCACCAAAAUUUUCUAUCCAGUUUCUUCUUUGCAUGAAUCCCAUCAUAGAAAACUGUUCUUUUCAACAAAAUCAGAGCCAAUUUUUGAUGAAUUAUUAUCCAAGGAUUGGGCUAAAGGGUUAGAAAAAGAGCUAUCAAGUUUAAAUCCAAGAUUGACCCAUGAAACUGUUUUGUAUAUUCUAAUGAAAUUAGGUAAAGAACCAGAAAAAGCUUCAAGCUUUUUCAAGUGGGCCAUUGAGGAAAAGGGGUUUCGGCCAAGUACUUCUAUUUAUAGUCUAAUGCUGAGAAUUUAUGCUAAAAAUCAUGCAAUGAAGGAAUUUUGGGUUGUUAUCAAAGAAAUGAAAGAAAAGGGGUAUUAUAUUGAUGAGGAGACAUAUGCAAGUAUUUACUCAGAUUUUCGGAAUUCGAAAUUGAUUAAUGAUGCUACUGCUCUGAAGCAUUUUUAUGAGAGAAUGAUACAAGAAAAUGCUAUGGAGACUGUUGUGCAAAGGGUGGUUGAGGUGGUCAAGAAUUCGGAUUGGAGUAGUGAAUUGGAGAGAGAGUUGGAGGACAUGAGGUUUUCGGUAUCGGAGAAUUUUGUUUUGAGGGUGUUGAAGGAACUUAGAGGAAAAGGCUUGCCUUGGAAAGCUUUGAGUUUUUUCAAAUGGGUUGGGGAGAGUUUGGGGUAUGAGCAUACUAGUGUUACUUAUAAUGGGAUGCUUAGGAUUCUUUGUAAAGGAGAGGUGGUUACGGAGUUUUGGAGUAUGGUUAAGGAGAUGAAAGAUGCUGGUUAUGAGAUUGAUAUUGAUACUUAUGUGAAAGUGAUGAGGGAGUUUCAGAAGAGUAUGAUGGUGAAGGAUGCAGUUGAGCUCUAUGAGCAUAUGAUGGAUAGUCCGUUUAAGCCUUUGGAGAAGGAAUGCAGUUUGCUUUUGCGUGCCAUUGCAUAUGCUCAGGAUCCUGACUUAGAUCUGAUGCUUAGAGUUGUAAAGAAAUAUGAGGAUGCUGGGUAUUGUUUAUUGAAGAAUGACUAUGAUGGGAUUCAUAGGUGUUUGACUAGUGUUGGGAAGUUUGAUGAAGCAGAGAAGAUCCUUGAGACCAUGAGAAAUGCUGGUUAUGAACCAGAUAACAUCACCUACAGCCAAUUGAUUUUUGGACUUUGUAAAGCUAAGAGGCUAGAAGAAGCCUGUGAAGUACUAGAUGUGAUGGAAGCACAAGGAUGUACCCCUGAUAUCAAGACUUGGACCAUACUAAUAAAGGGGUAUUGUGUAGUUAAUGAAGUUGACAAGGCACUGCUAUGGCUUGGAAAGAUGGUGGAAAAGGGCAUUGAUGCAGAUGCUGAUCUUUUAGAUGUUCUAGUGUAUGGAUUUCUGAUAGAGAAGAGGGUGGUUGGAGCAUACCAAUUAGUCGUGGAAAUGAUUGACAAGGCUCACGUGAGACCCUGGCAAGCUACAUUUAAGGAUCUGAUUGAAAAGCUUCUAGGAGAAAGGCGACUUGAAGAAGCCUUGAACCUUCUUCAUCUAAUGAAGAAACAGAAUUAUCCACCAUAUCCAGAACCUAUCAUCCAGUAUGUCUCAAAGUUUGGUUCUGUGGAUGAUGCUUGGGGGUGUUUGAUGGCAAUAAGUAACAAGCAAUAUCCAUCCGUGUCAGCUUACCAGCGUGUUUUCCAGUCCUUCUUUAAUGAGGGUAGACAUUCUGAGGCCAAGGAUCUGCUUUUCAAGUGCCCUCAUCAUAUCCGUAAACAUUCUGCUAUUAGCAGCCUUUUUGGUUCUUCAGAAAGCAACUUAGAAGCAGUUUCAACUUGAGACUAUUGACUUAUAAUUAUAGGUUUGGUUGAUAAUGUAUGGUUAUCCAACUUUAAUAUGCAAAGCUACCAUAUGCACACUGACCUAAUCCUGUGCCAAACUUUAUUAUGCAUUGAUUAUCAUUGAAAGUUCUUUGGCAAUAAAUAUAGGAGCUUGUCUUGGCCAAACUCUAAGUCAUGGCUGAAGGUUUUCUAUUUUCUUUUGGCCUUCAUGGCGCCCUCAGAUGUCCAUUCUGUUAUUCUAAACCUUUUGAGGCAUGUGUUGUGGUAUACUGCGUUAUUCAGGAGUUGCAUCUAAUUAGUCUUUCUUAAUCAUUUUCUCGUCAUGAAGCUUUUAUCAUGUUAUGCUUCAUUGCUUUGUAAUUCAGAGUGUUGGUUGACAAAAAAGAAAAGAACCAAAAAAUCAAAUAAUUUGUUUCAAUCAACCAUUAACCGGCGGCGAAAAGCAGUAUUAGUAGACCUUUUAAUACUAAUAAAGAAUUUGAAGAGGCUAUUCCUAAAAUACUAGGAUGCAAAGGAAGCUCCCAUUUGGUAACUGACAAUGGAAACAAGAGUGUUACAUUUGUGUAUGUAGAAGAGUCCCUAAAUCCUCAAAUAUAAUCCAGUUAGCAAGAAGGUCGCUGUUCUUGUCCAUAAUGGAAAAACCAAUAUGCGAAUGACUAAUUAUUGUUGAAUAGAUUCAUUAAACCUGGCCAAAUGAAGGAUCCUUAUCAAAGAGCCAAGGUUCAUUUCUGGUUUGCUUAUAUUGAACAGGUAUUCAUCUUGUCAUUGCCAUGUGUUAGUUCUCUUACCUAAUACUGAAUUGUUGGGACCUGCUAUAAGAACCAUGAAAGAAAAGAUUGCUUCAAAGUAUUUUGCGUUGGAUUUGGGAAAGUUGCCAACUUGCUCUGUAGAUUCCUAAUCGUUUUCAUGAAGUCAUCUUGGCCUUUAUAUGGAAGCAUUUGAUUGGCUUGCUGAAGCUGAAACUGUCAAGUUGGUACAAUAACCUAUGUACACACCCUAUAAACAAAAGAUGUGAUUUUGUCCUCGAAAGUUUUUACCCGUUGAUACAUAUUCCUAGUAAUGCAUCAAGCAGACUCUGGCUGGCAUAGAUUUUAACUUAAUGACCACUGUAGUUGUGCCAAUAAAAGAUAGUACCUGUUAACGGGUGUUGUAAUAAUUCUUACAAAUCAUCAGGUCAUUUCAUUCACAACCAAUGGUAUUGGCUUUUGAGCAUAGUCAUAGACCAGGUGUGCAUAUUUCUUAAACAAGAGAUCUUCUGGCAUCAAAGCAUCAUGUGUAUAAUUAUCUUCCUAGUUCCAGACAAGUUAAUAUCUGUUUAUGCAUCUCAUCUAAAGAUUCCAGACUGAAUACAGUGUAAUGGAAGUGCUGAGAUUGCAAUUACUAUUAGCUGUAGGAGACACAGCUAAAUCGUUAGUUACAUAUCAAAUUAGUAAGCUUACAACAGAAUUCUCGUAUGAUGUCAAGUCAAAAGAAAUUGCUUCUCUUGAUCCUCUUUCAUUUACACAAAAUGGACAAAACGGGGAGAGGGAUAGGGGUUUCGUGAGGGAUAUUAUCAAAUUUCAGUUAGCCUUUGAAAUCUACACGAUCCUGUGCUUGAGACCUUGCUGGUUACCAACCAUCUAAAUUAGUUAAAAAGUCUUCCACUUUUUUCAACUUUUCAUGCACCAAUGAUAGAACCUUGCAGUUAAUACAUAACCCAUAUCUCAGUCAGGCAUCUCUGCACUUUCCCGCCUAGCUGUUUCUGUCAAAGUAAUCAAAAACCUGAAUGGAUCGCAACUGUAUGGAUUGGCAAGGGCUGCAUGUGCCAAAAAUGGAAGCUUUCUGAGGGACCUCCCACUCAAUCCCUGACGACAAGCAAGAAAUUACAAAUUAAACAUCAUUCUUUCCCUUACGCUUCAACACUAGUGCCCCUGCUCCUCCUAUGAGUUGGCUACUGUUGUAUGCUAGCGUUGUCUCUGCAAAUUGUUAAAUACAAAUACUAAAAAGAAAAUGUUCUUCCAACUUUUUCUUACCUCACAUGCUUCUGCAGCUUCGAGCAAUUUUCUACAAAGACUUAAUGAGGAUUGAGAUUCUGGUAGCACCGUGGAAUUCAACUUCUCUUUUAAACCAGUAAAAUUUGAAAGAAUGACGUUAUGGCCAUCCUGCAGUAAUUUCAUUUUCUUUUGUAUCAGUUAACAAGGCUGUGGAUCAGGCUUAUGUUACUGAAUGCAAAAAGCCCGGAAAAAUACCUGCAUGUCAGGGUUUGACAAGAUUAUUCCAGUUCGUAGUAGCUCCUGCAAACUGGAUCUUAGAAUUUCAUAGCGUGCCUGAAGCGUUGGAGGCCCCACAUAUGCUUUAAUAUCAGCUCGGUCAACAAAGGCUACAUCUGCAGUCCAAAAUGGAGCACAUCAUUAUCAAAAUCAUGUCCUUGCAUCAAGUUUACUAGCUAAUAAAUAGAAAUUUGGUCUUACAAUACCUGGAAAACAAAUACAAUAAAAUUAUAUGCUUCUUUAAAAGAUGCAAUAGAAGAGAAACAAAAAGUGACCAGCACUGACACUGGGAAAUACCCCAAAAAAUAAAAAGAAAACAAACAGAAAGAAAGAUAUGGAAAGUCAACAUAAUUCAAAUGGAAAAAUAGGAUAUGCAGUUAUGCACAAUUUGUGUUUCCUUGCCAAAUAUAGCAACAUCUUGUCAAUUUAGAUAUUAGUAGACGUAAAAUUUCAUUGCUUAACAAUUAUUAAAAACAGCCAUUUAUCAAACUUCAAACAUAAUUUGAUCAUCCGUUGGGUUGAGUACAAUUCAUAUUCUCUUGUAUAUGUUGCUACUUCAAAACACAGGAUCAUAGAAAUGGUUGGAGAAAAUUCCAAAUCUUGACGCACUGAUCUAUUAGAGGCACUAAAAGGCUAAGCAACAAGCUAUUGCUGAUGUUUCAGCAGCAGAAGUGCUUGCUGACAAAAUAUCGAGAGAUUGGUGUUAGCUUCGAAAUUAUGAAGCAAGAUAUUAAGUUGUUUCAUAAAAAGAAGCAAAAACAAUGAGAAUGACAGAAUUAUCUAAUCCAAGAUAUUAAGUUGUUUCAUAAAAAGAAGCAAAAACAAUGAGAAUGACAGAAUUAUCUAAUCCAAAGUAUACCAAAUACCACGUCCUUACCAAUAGCAGCAGUUAUAUUGGAGGUAGUCAAUAUUAUCACAUUUGGGGAGGUCUUUAGUUUGUCCAUCUGGGUCAGUAGCGCAUUCACGACCUGACAAGCAGUUGUAAGAUCUUCUAUGAAUCAUGAGUUGUAUUCAAAUUUUUAAUAUAUUCUGCAACAGCUAUCCUGCUGUAUGCAAAUUAAAAUCUGCUCGAAUGUACAACGAGAAAAUACCCUUAUAGAAUCUGAUGGCUCAGAACCAGACAAUGCAGCCUUUCUUGCAGCAGCAAGGCUUUCAACUUCAUCUGCCAUAUUACAAGAAACAAGAAUCUAGUUACACGAUAAAAAAGUGUGAGCAUCAUAUGAUUGAAUAUCAGUAAUUGUUCUCACCAAUCAAAACAAAUACCAGGUUGUUUUCUUCUUCCACCAUUUCUUGAAUUUUUGAGAAUAGCUUUGCUACCUAAAUGAGUAGAUAGAAUUAAAUUAUUACCUGGUCAAAAUCAACCUGAAGAGGUUCAUUUAAAAAUUGCAGAAAGACUAUAAAAGCAUUUACUGCCUAAGUAAAGAGGAAAAGAAACAAAGGCGGUUACAAAUCAAAUGGACACAAGGAUACCAAUUUUUGCAGUACGCUCUUGAUACAGCACAUGAGUAACUGUUAAAUUAAUUUAUAUUCAUUUUUAUGGAUACAUUUGAACAAGUUUUAAGGAUUGUCUCGGAACUUCAACUUCAGCUAGAGUUCAAAUUAAUCAACGGUGUGCAAAAAUCAACAUUCUCGCCCACAAAAAUAACAUGAAUUCACGUCCAAGAACAUAAAUGCAGCACUUCAGGGGAGUUACUCAGCUAAACAUCAGACUAUCACAUAUUUCUUUCAAAGCAUCGAAGUUUUAGCAUGUAGACCUCAUGAAUCUUAAGAUUAACCCAAACAAAUGGAAACGAGAGAGAGAGAGAGAGAGAGAGAGAGAGCAAAAGAUUAUCUAUUUGCCUUAUAGAAUUUCCUUGAAUAAGUCAUUGAAUCUUACUGUUGCUUUUGUUAAUGAUACAAAGAGAGCAAACUGUUCAAGCACAAAACCUUGAGGCAAACCAUUGAAUACAUGCAAGAUUACCACUCAUAAGCAACAAGAGUAUAAGUUACAGAAUGUUAGUUAAGGAGCAAAACCUGCACUUACCAACUUGCCACUCUCAGAAAACCAUUUACUAAAUAAGGAAUGUGCAUUUACUUCAACCAACUGGCAUUGUGGGUAUCUGUUAUGGAUGUUGCGUAAAAUCAUAUGAGCAAAAGAGAUUUUCGCACAGGAAUAGUAAUUAAGCAAUAUGAGACCUCAUCAGAACCUGAUGCUAAAUCGUACAGAGAGCUUUUGAGCUAGUGCUUUGCAGAGAGAUGUUUUCCCUGUUCCUGGAGGUCCAUGCAGAAGAAUGAUACUGCAGACCACUCAGAUAGGAUUAGUAACAAUACAUAUUGUGGUAUAUGUACUUCAAAAAUAGUUAAUUGCUGUCGCCUCUUUUUUAUUUUUCUCCAUUCUUUUUUGCCAAAGAAGUUAUAGUCUUUUUCAAUCAGCAUCAUUACCAUAUGCACAUCUACAUCUACCAUUCCCGAGUAUUUGUCAGGCUGAGCUUUGUAAAUUGAAAUUCCAUUAGACAUUACUAGGUUUACUCUAAAACAAUUUGAUUGUGCAGUUCAAUCUUUGAACUUUCCAGUGAUCAUUUGACACAUCACUUAGUGAGAUUUUUGUCCAUAAAAUAAACAGUUCAAAAGGCUUGAGCACUAAAUUGCACAAGAACUUUGCCGAACACUUCAGCACAAAUAUUAACACAAGAUUACAUAAACAUCAAAGAGCUCAGCAAGAAUUCCUUACCGGUUCCAAGAAACAAGAAAAGGGUCAACACCCUUUUCAGUAAAAAGCAAAGCACUUGCUGCAUAACGCAAUAAUCUCUGCUUGAGACCAGAUUCAUAUAUCAAGCUGUAGAAUAAGAAAAGUCAAGUUUACUAUGCUUAUCAACAUAAUAAUAGUGAAAAAUGUGACUGUAAAAGGCAAACCUUUCCCACAUGCCAUCAAAUUCCUUUGCAGGAAGCAUCCAUUCAUUGAAGCUAGAAAGUUGGCCAUCACCAUUUAAGUCUUCACCAGGUCCUUCUUCACUUAGCUGGAAAGAAGCAACAGUCCAAAUGCACAGCAUGGAUAAGUACAUGCAGUAUCAAGAUUAAUUUUAGCAAACCUCUAAAACAUGAAUAUAAAAUUGAGCCCUCUAAAAAUAUUUAUCUUGUUAAGAUUGUAACAAUCGAGCCCUUCAUAUAUCCAUAUAUAUUCAACCUGCUCCCUUGACCUUCUGGAAUUGGUUGAAUGUUACACCGAUCUAAUUUACAAAUGACUUGACCCCACAGCAUAGCAUAAAGCUUUAGUUCAAAGAGGCCAACUUAAAACUUUGGUUCUUUAGGAGCAAAAUUGAAUCCAGAAGAAACUGAGAGCCAAAGGUCAAAUAGACGUUGGAAUGUACUCCCUGAAAGUGGAAAUCACAAUUCAUGAUUAACAACGGUCUUCAGAGAAGUGAAUGCAGAGACAGUUUCCCACCCACCCAAUCCUUCCAACCAACAAAACUCUCCAUUUGCAGGUUACAGCAAUCUAUUUCACAACAGUCAGGUCUUUGGAUGCUGCUUUAUAAUAUUCAAUCAAAUCUAAAAGCAUAUAAAAGAUUAUCUACCACUAAGACCUAGAAAUCAUAUGAUAACAUCAAAAGCAUCUAUUCUGCAUAGGAUCCGAGAAUUAUGAAUAUAAAAAAAAAUUAUUUCUUUACAAGCCAAACUGUUCAAUAUGAGUAAUCGAUAAGUUUACUUAUGAUUAAAACCAAAGAAGAGGAAGGGCAACCAGUAAGCUAAAAAUAAAUUAUCAUUACCUGAAAAACAUGCACAACGGGUUUGACUUGCCAGAACAAAAGAACAUCACGGUUAUCCAGCCAUUCAUCUACGAACACCAGAAAUCAAGCAACAAAUCAAAAAUCAUCAAAGGUACCAAAACUUCCUCUCAGAAUAGCAAGUAGACAAGGAGUUCUAAUGACAAAACAACUUUCCAAUCCUUCAGCAUUUCUUUACCACUUUUAGCAGAAAUUUACAAACAGAUUCCCUUGACUUUUCUGCUUCUUAAACCCAGAAUGUAGUAGCAUUACCCAAAAAAAGAAAACCCAAAAAUUAAAUCCUACCUGUGUCACAAACUGAAAUGCGUUGUACAUUCUCAAUAAGAAAUGAAUCAUCCAAUGGCACAGGAAUGGGCCCAUCAACAUAGCUCAUAUUCCUAUGUUCCAGCAUCCUGUGAAAUAUUUAAGCAACAAAAAGAUAACUUCUAAAUCAAAUUGAAAUAAAUUCAGCUCAAUCUUAAAAACCACCAUAAACUCACUCUUCAGGAUUUUGUUCAAGUAUCCACCUGAAUACAAUAUCUCAAAAGUAAUUAUCUUUUCUUUUUAAAUGCAUUUUUAGCAAUCGAGCCACAGUAUAUCAGAGUAAAUAUAUAGUAAAAUUCUAUAACUGAAACUCCCAAAAAAAAGUCCCAAAAAGUCCCAAAAAGGUUUGCAAUUUAUCCUACUUUGGAGCAAAUACAUUUUAAUAAUUCAAUAGUCUGGACUAGAAAUAAUUCACUUAGGAGUACCUUUCAACGGCAGCACGAACAUCUUCAAUACGAGCCGUGCUAGUUGGUUUCAGACAAACUUCAACUGAAAAAAUACAGGGCCAAAAGAUGAAAACAAAUAAAACUAAUUAACAUCCCAAAAAAGUUCAAAAAUUUCACUAAUUAAAUGAAUUACAAAUGCUAACCUGAAACAGGAAUCUUAUCGUCGGCUAUUGCCGGAGGAGGUUGAGGAGACGGAAGGGGCGGUGGAAGAGAAAGCGGUGGCUCCAAAACGUUGCCGUUUUGUUGAUCAACAACGUCAUGCCCAAGUUCAGCAGCGGCAUCUGGAAUUGAAAUAUCCAUUGGGGCGCUGCUCAUUUUCUUGCUUUUAUUUCUUGAAGUUUUAUCUUUUGUUUCUACAUGCGGAGAUUGGAAUUCGAGAAAAGUUGGAGAAAUCAAAGAAGGAAUCCUGGGGUUUUUCCCUGAGAAGUAUAAACCCUAGUGGAGGAAGGGCUAGAAAUUUGAGAUGGGGAAAUGGAAAGGGAAAUUUUGAGCGCGGGAAGAAUCUCUGGUAAAGACAUUUAAAGGAGGCUAUGGUUUUGGGCGUACUGUGGUGGGUGCAUGGACCGAAUCUUAGAACUGCAGUAAGAUUUAAACACGUAGAAUCAAAGAAACCAUAAACCAAUGGCUUAGAUGGAAAAUGUUUUGCUCUAUUUUUGUGUGAAAAUUUUGGACAAUAUUAAUUAAUUUUCAAAACUUUGAUAGGUUGAAAAAAAUUUAUAAGGAUUGACCAAAGUUAUCGAUUUCAAAAGAAUAGUUGAAGAGCGCACACUUUUGGCAUUUUUUGUGAUCAUUUUUUAUUGAUAAAAUUAUAUCGACCAAAUAUCCAAAAACGUUAUAAAGAAUUUAAUUUUAAAAAAUUCGAUGGCAUAACAAUUAAGUGUAAAAUAGCUAAGGAGAUAUUUUUAUAUGAAGUGUAUGAGUUUUUUUGGCAAAAAUAUAUGAGUUUUUGUUCCCAUUUUGAAGACAAAUCGUGUACCCAUUUUUUACUUUUGCAUGUAUAAUAAGAACAUUAUUGAUCCUGCAUUCAAAUCUUUCUUUCCCUCCCUAUGUCUUAAAAUAUCAUCCCUUCUCUAUUGGAAAAUGUUAAAAAAGAAAUUACGUCAUCAUUGCUCGUUGUUUUUAACACAAUCUUACUGAUGUGUAGUUCUUUAGCAUAUAGAUUUUGUAGCUUAAUAUUUAUAAAAUCCAAUUCAGAAAAAGAUUAUGUUCUCACAGAUUUACGUGGUAUGAAUAAUGAAAACAAUGUCCAUAGAGAAAUGUGUUCAUUUGAUGCUGUUGUCCUUCUCUACUUAGAGUUUCUUUUGGAGCUAUAUCCGAAGUUGGAAUAAAUAAAAAUGUGGAUUUGAAAAUUUUGGAGGAUUUAAAACAAAAAUUUGUCCUAGCUAUUAUACACAUUAGGAUUGGGAAAGGGUUGAAUUGAGUCAAAAGGUGAGAGUGUUAUAAAUAAGAAAUUUUGGAUUCAAGACCUCUCACUUACGACAAAAAAAAAAAAAAAAAAGGAUUGAAGAAUAAAUUAAUUGUAGAAAGUGUUCAUUCUACCUUAAGGCAUUACUCACUUAAAUAAAACCUUUGACAGAUUUCGCCCAUUUACUACAAUAAACUAUGUGCAGACAACUCAUUUUGUUUUUUCUUCAGUGUGGCUAUAGAGAUCAAAAUUGUAACUACAUAACUUCUAAUUGUAUAAGAUUGACGAUUAUUUAAAAAAAAAAAAAGAUUGAUGAUUUUUUUUUUUUUUUUUUUUGCAAUUUGACAAAAUAAUGAUGUACUAUGUACUACCCUUUAUAAAGGCAAUGAGGCCAUAGACUAUUGAUAAAAACAACUGAGGUUGAGUUCUAAGAAUUAGAGAUUCAUUUUAUUUUAUUUUUAUUUUUUGGUAAGCUAAGUCUUGGAGGUUAGGAAAUCUAACCAUGCAUUAGUGUUCAUCCUACUAUUUGUAGGUUAACUUGUAACAUCAUAAAUGACCCUACCAUUGUGGGUUUCUGCCACCCUCUUUUGUCUGUACUUUGUACGACCUUUCAUGUUCUCAUACAUCAAAAGUAUAGUACAACAAUCUAAAAGACAAAGCAAGGUAUCCAUGUCUUACAUGCAAUUAUGCUAUUCCUUUGGUCCAUUCAUGACAACAUGCUAUUCCUUUGGUCCAUUCAUGACAACACAUUGACAGAAACUCAUCUUUGGUCCUUAAGGUGGACGCGGGGCUGGAGCGGUUAUCAGAACAAUCGCUCCGGAAGGUGUAACAUCAUUUGUACAUGGUGUAACAACUGCUCCGAAAGGUAUAAUAUCAUUUGUACAUGGUGUAACAUCAUCUGUACAAGGUAUAAUAAUAGAACAACAGCGAGUAACAUUAAAACAACAUUUUUGUGGGUCCCACACGGCGUGAAAAUCGAGUUACAAGACGUGAUCUGAACCGCACAAAUUUUUGAGACCUCAUCCAAGCCGUGAACUGCCUGGGACGGUUGUCAGGCCCCUCGUCCCCUCGUCCCCUUAAGGUGUCCUAAAGAUGACAAAAUUCAGUUGAUCAGUUUGUCAUCCCCACAUUUCUGCAGCUCCAAAAUGAGAGGCUCAAAUAGUUCCAGGAUAAUAACAUGGCCCAUGCAGCACUAACCAAUUUCUUGACUCCAAAAUCAAUUAAAUUGCUACCCUAUGAAGAAAAAGCAGCAACAGCAAGAGCAGCGUGUUCAUGAUGGUGAAAACGAACAUGAUCUGGAGAUCAUCAAGGCAGUAGCACAAGCAUGGUAUGCCAAUUCCAGCAGCUCUAAGUCAUCACCAAAUGAAUUUGAUGCCCACCGGCGAAAUUUCAAGGGCAAGCCUAGCAGAUUCAAGCUUGAAGCUGCAAGAAAAGCAUCAUCAGGUGACGGAUAUGGCAGCAGUAGUAGUACAAGUAGUAAUUGGGAUUUUGGCCAAUCCCUUUGGGAUUCUUAUGAGAUUGUUACAAUUGCAAGAAGGUUGGAAAGAGGUUUAGUUUUGGAUCAUACAUUCUCUGAAAAGGAUGAUGCAGGGCAUGUUUUCAAGAAGAGGAAAGAGAGUAAGAAUAGCCUCAGGAAUUUACUUAAUAGGAUAUCCUCUAGGAGAUUUAAUGAACCACUUGCACCCCAAGAAGAAGGAAAUCUGUCUCUUGAUAAGCCUGGAUGAUGGCUCAAAUUUUUAGGUCAUUUUUAGCCUUCUUCUUUCAUAUCUUGCUUUCAAUUGAAUUGAAUUGGGUGACAAAUUAUUUAGUUGCAAUAUAUUUUUAGUGUUUAUUUUUUUUCUUAAAAAAAGUGUGGCAAAAAGGAAGGCAAGUUGGACAUGUGUGUCAUUUAAUCUGAAGCUCAGGAACCAUGAAUAGAUGCAUUUUAAUUUAGUAACAAUUAGUUUGCAAUUACAGUCAAUGAUGCAAUUGAAGCUUCUGGGAUUAUGCAUAUCAAUGAAAAAUACAGUUCAAAAUCUCAACUGCUAAAGUUUCGCCGUUUAUUGGUUGUUGAUCUUGUACCUUUUCUUUUUCUUUAUCUUUUUCUUUUUUGGGUCAAAAUGUUGAUCUUGUACUGCAUGUCUAGUAUCAGUACAUUUUGCUUCUGGCUUUUAUUUUUACUUUUUGUCUCCUAAAACCUGAUAGUUCUUUUGCUUUUUGUCUGCUGAAACCUUAGUGUUCUUUUAGUGCUUCUUCAAGUGGGAUAGGGACAGUACAUUUCAGCUUAUUAACAUGGGUAGAAGUAGUAAGUUAAUAAGUAAUAGAUAAAUAAAAAGAGACAGGAAGCUAAAAAACAGGAGUAGCAUGGAAUUUUGCAAAUAAAUUCUGUCAAAUGACAUAAUCCUAGAUGAUUAACCUAGAAAAGCAGGCCUAACAGGUUUGUAAUGGACAAAUUUAUGACCACUCCAGUGGGAGAGUAGUCAGUGAGGCUCGUUCACAUUUGCAUUGUUAUAUUUUAGAGUUCUUGUAGAAAAACGAACUGUAACGAUUUGAUGUAUGUAAGAUUAAAAAAAAAAAAGGAAAAAAGGAAAAGAAGAAGGUAUGGUAUUGACAAAUCACAAAAGGCAAUUGGAAUAAAGAUUUCAGUCAAUUGCAAGAAGCUGCAAACUGGUUAGUUAUACUUGAUAAUGGUAAUGUAUCCUGCAGUUGAGGGUGGUAGAUCAUUAGUGGGCUAAGUUGUAAUAAUACAAAAGAAGCCUCAGUUGGGUUUUAUUAUUUUAAGGGAGCUUAAACCUAAAAUUCUUUGUUUUCUCUUCUAGAGAGGCUUAGAUUAAAUGAUUUAAUAGGUGUUUCUUUAUCAUCUCAGAAAAAUAAAAAGAAACUGAUAGUAGAUGACUUUAUUUGAUUUUUUGGGUCUAAAACACUGAUACUCCCCUUAAAGUGUUAAUUUCAUUGUGGUCCUUCAAAAUGCUCCGAAAUCUAUAUUGAUCCUCC